GGUUACUGUAAUAAGACGUUUCAGAGGUAAUAAGGCACUCAGGAGCCGGGUUACUGUAAUAAGAUGUUACAGGGGGUAAUAAGUCACUCAGGAGCCGGGUUACUGUAAUAAGAUGUUACGGGGUAAUAAGGCACUCAGGAGCCGGGUUACAGUAAUAAGACGUUACCGAGUUAAUAAGGCACUCAGGAGCCGGGUUACAGUAAUAAGACGUUACAGAGGUAAUAAGGCGCUCAGGAGCCGGGUUACUGUAAUAAGAUGUUACAGAGUAAUAAGGCGCUCAGGAGCCGGGUUACUGUAAUAAGGCGCUCAGGAGUCGGGUUACUGUAAUAAGAUGUUACACGGUAAUUAUAAUACAGGGUAAUAAGGCACUCAGGAGCCGGGUUACUGUAAUAAGAUGUUACAGGGUAAUAAGGCACUCAGGAG